rnacentral:lncRNA from 1 species
UUCCUUCUUGUCCGCAUUGCAUUCUUUUGCAAAAUGACCGAACCUUUGACAACUAAAGCACUACACCUUACUUUUGUCAAUCCUCGUCCUUUCACUUCUUAAGUUUCCUUAACCACCAUUUUUAUUGCAGCUUCUCUCACCCUUUUGAAAGUCAAAUUCUUGGAACUUUAGGACUCUCUUCCACCAAAGUUCUGAAAAACUCCCAUUACUCUUCAUGAGCCAUU